rnacentral:lncRNA from 1 species
UAAGUCAUGUAGGCUCAUCUGACAGAUAUUGGCUAUACUUCUUCGUUAAGCCUGACUCACCAUUCACAAGUAGGUACAAAGCUGUCAUUGGGUUCCUCACCUGACAGAUAUUGGGCCCAACCCUAUCCUUAUCCUGGAGCAACUCUUUGCUAAUAGAGUAGUUGUGUGUCCUCGAUGCAACUGAGCCACUAUAACCAGUCGAGAACAAUCAACACCAGUAGUAUGCCUGCACUUCUACAACGGUGAAAGAUCUCUAGACUUAGUAUUAAUGGAAAGAUUUAAGUUUAGAUCUUAUCUAAUUAGUCAUCAGAUAACUGAUUUAAUUGGCAUGGGCUAAAUCAAACCAUCAAGCAACCAUAUUCAAGACUCAAUCUUCCAAAUUGAUCAAAUAAGUGG